rnacentral:rRNA from 1 species
GAAUCCCACAGGCCGUAAACCCAAGGUUUCCAGGGGAAGGUUCGUCCGCCCUGGGUUAGUCGGGACCUAAGCUGCGGCCGAAAGGCGUAGGUGAUGGACAACAGGUUGAUAUUCCUGUACUACCGAUAACCGUUUGAGAGAAGGGAUGACACAGUAGGAUAAGCUAAGCACACUGUUGGUUAUGUGUGCCCAAGCAUUGAGG